UGGCAUCUUUCAAGACAAAUCACAUCAGACACAGUCGCAGAUUAUGUGAUUAAAUGGGCUGUUUUAUGCAUGAUAGCGCUCUAAUUAGGAACAUGUCAAGCUGAAUUACACUGAGAGGGGAAUAAUAGCAUAAGAAUAUUAAAUGUACGCCACAAUUACGGAGUCAUUUGGCAGAAUGUAAUAGGGCUGUCUCUCCUGUUUCAGGUAAAGCUGAGAAAGCUGAAAAGAAAUCUGUCAAGGAGGUUCAAGAUAAAGAAAAACAACCAGCACAAGCUAAGAAGAGAGCGUCCUGUAAAGCCUGAGGGGAGCCUCAGACUGAAGACAACACUACAGAAAAGAAAAAAACAGGCCAGAGAUUCUUCCAGUGUGUUUAUGUCCCUGGCAAAAAUGUACAGUACCCCUUGCGACCUUUCAGCCCAGCCAUGCCCCCCACCAUGAUGUCCCCUGCACUCAGGUCAAUGCUGGAGCAGCAGCGAGCAGCCAGGGCGUCGGGGCAGUAGGACAAGUGUGACCUCUCACUUCAUAUCUCAUAGCAGUGCAUCCCCAGUCCAGCAGGGGGAGACGUUUGAAUCUGUGGCUUCCUUAGAUUCAGAGGAAAGCUCAUUCAAACAGAAGCAUUUUGUCUUUAAUUUAUUUUCUCUCUUUGUGGUCGAGCUCCUGGGGUUAGUGUUGAUGCUGGUUGCACCGUCUUGGUUAUAUGACAAUCAUUGACAAUAGUCAAACAGAGAAGCCUUUAUAUGAAUAGUCUUAACUUAAUGUGCAUAACAUCCUGUAUGUUUAUAAUUAACACUUGGAAAAAGGUUCAUAACUUGGUCAUUUUUAAGUUUACUAAAAAAAGAUGAAAACAAAAUACUUGUAUUGGGUUUUAAUGGCAAACCUGGCUGCAGGUGGCAUUCUGCAUUGUUAACUACAUAAACCAUCGCAGCAUUGAUGAGACUUGCAUCUGUUCUCUAAAUUUGUGUCUAAAAACACUGAUUUGGCAAGCUGCAACGGGUAUCUGCUCCUAAUGGCAGUGUUAUUGCUGCUGAGCUGUGUCCAUCUAUAGAUUAACAUAUAAAUGUGGAGGGUCGAAUCCCAGGAGCUCCCACGGCUGAUCCCAGCAGCCUCCCUGUCUCUGAUCAUGAGUGAACAUCCAUCAGUCCCAUUAACAGAAGUGACAGCAUCCA